rnacentral:rRNA from 1 species
GCUUGACUGUAUCCUGGAAUUGGGUUUCGGUUUUUCUUGCGCAGUCUAGGUGGGAGGCUAUGAAGAUUUCCUUCCGGGAAAUUAGAGCCAUCAGUGAGAGACCACUCUGGAAGAACUAAAAUUCUAAUGGCGUUCCUUGAAUCAGGACGCUUGACAUUUUCAGGUGGGCAGUUUUUCUGGGGCGGAAGCCUCAUAAAGCGUAACUGAGGCGCGCAAAGGUUCCCUCAGUCUGGAUGGAAAUCAGACUAUUAGAGUGUAAAGGCAGAAGGGAGCUUGACUGCAAGAGUGACAACUCAAGCAGGGACGAAAGUCCGGCCUUAGUGAUCCGACGGCUGCGAUGGAAGGGCCGUCGCUCAACGGAUAAAAGUUA